AGAGUUUGAUCCUGGCUCAGGAUGAACGCUAGCGGCAGGCUUAACACAUGCAAGUCGAGGGGCAGCACGGGUAGCAAUACUUGGUGGCGACCGGCGCAAGGGUGCGUAACGCGUGAGCAACAUGCCCGUAUCAGGGGGAUAAUCCACGGAAACGUGGUCUAAUACCCCAUAGUAAGUUUUUGGGGCAUCUCAAAGAUUUUAAAGCUUUGGUGGAUACGGAUUGGCUCGCGUGACAUUAGCUAGAUGGUAAGGUAACGGCUUACCAUGGCUACGAUGUCUAGGGGUUCUGAGAGGAAGGUCCCCCACACUGGAACUGAGACACGGUCCAGACUCCUACGGGAGGCAGCAGUGAGGAAUAUUGGACAAUGGAUGGAAAUCUGAUCCAGCCAUGCCGCGUGCAGGAAGACGGCCCUAUGGGUUGUAAACUGCUUUUGUAUGGGAGCAAUAAGGGCUACGUGUAGUCCGAUGAGAGUACCAUACGAAUAAGCACCGGCUAACUCCGUGCCAGCAGCCGCGGUAAUACGGAGGGUGCAAGCGUUAUCCGGAUUUAUUGGGUUUAAAGGGUGCGUAGGCGGUUUGAUAAGUCAGCGGUGAAAUAUUUCAGCUUAACUGGAAGGGUGCCGUUGAUACUGUCGAGCUUGAAUUUAGUUGCUGUGGGUGGAAUGUGUGGUGUAGCGGUGAAAUGCAUAGAUAUCACACAGAAUAUCGAUU
rnacentral:rRNA from 1 species